rnacentral:rRNA from 1 species
ACUCAAAUGAAUAGACGGGGACCCGCACAAGCGGUGGAGUAUGUGGCUUAAUUCGAUGCAACGCGAAGAACCUUACCAAGGCUUGACAUGCAUCUCUAAACACGUGAAAGCGUGUGACCCUUCGGGGAAUUUGCACAGGUGCUGCAUGGCCGUCGUCAGCUCGUGUCGUGAGAUGUUGGGUUAAGUCCCGCAACGAGCGCAACCCUUGUGAUUAGUUGCCAGCACGUAAUGGUGGGAACUCUAGUCAGACUGCCCAGAUCAACUGGGAGGAAGGUGGGGACGACGUCAGGUCAGUAUGGCCCUUACGCCUUGGGCUGCACACGUACUACAAUGCCCAGCACAAUGAGAACCGAGACCGCGAGGUGGAGGAAAUCUGCAAAACUGGGCUCAGUUCGGAUUGGAGGCUGCAACUCGCCUCCAUGAAGUUGGAAUCGCUAGUAAUGCCGUAUCAUCUACGACGGCGUGAAUACGUUCCCGGGUCUUGUACACACCGCCCGU